CAAGAUACCACGGGCGCACGGCGGAUGCCUUGGCACAGGGAGCCGAUGAAGGACGCGGCAAGCUGCGAUAAUCCCCGGCGAGGAGCACACAUCCUUCGACCCGGGGGUCUCCGAAUGGGCGAACCCAUGCACAGCAGUGUGCAUAUCCCCCCGCUGAACACAUAGGCGGGGGGAGGACAACCCGGGGAACUGAAACAUCUAAGUACCCGGAGGAGAGGAAAUCAAUCUCGAGACUCCCCGAGUAGCGGCGAGCGAAAGGGGACCGAUGGCCAAACCGUCGAGCGGGCAUACCCGGCAGGGGUUCCGCCGACGGGGUUGCAGGGCCGCGCAUCCGGGGGCUGCCGCCCCCGGGCGCAGGUCCGGCUGGGGAGCGGAACGGCAUGGGAGGGCCGGCCGCAGCGGGUGACAGCCCCGUACGCGAACCCAGACCGGACGGCGCGACGCGGUCCCUGAGUAGGGCCGGGCACGUGAAACCCGGUCCGAACCUGGGUGGACCACCAUCCAAGCCUGAGUACUACCCUGUGACCGAUAGCGCACCAGUACCGUGAGGGAAAGGUGAAAAGCACCCCGGGAGGGGAGUGAAACAGUACCUGAAACCGUGCGCCCACGAGCAGUCGGAGCACCUUUAUGGUGUGACGGCGUGCCUUUUGUAGAAUGAGCCAGCGAGUCGCUGGCGCGGGGCGAGGUUAACCGAAAGGGAGCCGGAGCGAAAGCGAGCCUUAACAGGGCGACUUGAGUCCCGCGCCGCGGACGCGAAGCCGGGUGAGCUAUCCGUGGGCAGGCUGAAGCGGGGGUAAGACCCCGUGGAGGGCCGAACGCACGUCGGUUGAAAACGGCGGCGAUGACCUGCGGAUAGGGGUGAAAGGCCAAUCAAACCCGGAGAUAUCUCGUUCUCCCCGAAAUAGCUUUAGGGCUAGCGUCGCGCGUUCACCGCCGGAGGUAGAGCACCGGAUGGACGAGGGGGCUUCGCCGCCUACCGAAUCCAACCGAACUCCGAAUGCCGGCGGCCCAGAGCGCGGCAGUCAGAGCAUGUGGGCUAAGCUGUGUGCUCGAGAGGGAAACAGCCCGGACCGCCCGCUAAGGUCCCCAAGUUCCAGCCGAGUGGCAAAGGAUGUGCGUCCGCCCAGACAACCAGGAUGUUGGCUUAGAAGCAGCCAUCCAUUCAAAGAGUGCGUAACAGCUCACUGGUCGAGUGGACAUGCGCCGACAAUACACGGGGCUAAGCUGGACACCGAAGCGGCGGGAUUUUAAUUCAUUAGAAUCGGUAGGGGAGCUUCCCAUGGGCGGAGAAGCCGGAGGGCGACCGACGGUGGAGCGCAUGGGAGUGAGAAUGCUGGCAUGAGUAGCGAGAGACGAGAGAGUAACUCGUCCGCCGUGAACCCGAGGUUUCCUGGGCAAGGCUAAUCCUCCCAGGGUCAGUCGGGGGCUAAGGCGAGGCCGGGAGGCGUAGCCGACGCGCAGCAGGCAGACAUUCCUGCACCGCGCACGCGGCGCUACGACCGACGGGGCGACGGAUGGGGGUGGCUCGGCGGGGUUCUGGACGUCCCCGUGAUGGAGCGCGGCCCGCGGACCAGGGAAAUCCGGUCCGCAUUGAGGGCGAGGCUCCGGACGAAGCGACUGAGCGAAGCGAGUGAGCCCGAGGUCCCUAGAAAAACCCCUAGGCAGGCGCGUGCGCGCCCGUACCGCAAACCGACACAGGUGGGUGGGUAGAACAUACCGAGGCGAUCGGGUCAACCAUGGUCAAGGAACUCGGCACAAUGGCCCCGUAACUUCGGGAGAAGGGGUGCCCGCGCGUACGUGAACCGGCUCGCCCGGGGAGCGGAGGCGGGCCGCAGUGGAGAGGCCCAAGCGACUGUUUACCAAAAACACAGGACUCUGCAGAAGCCGCAAGGCGACGUAUAGGGUCUGACGCCUGCCCGGUGCCGGAAGGUCACGCGGAGGAGUUAGCCGUUAAGGCGAAGCCCCGAAGCCAAGCCCCGGUAAACGGCGGCCGUAACUAUAACGGUCCUAAGGUAGCGAAAUUCCUUGUCGGGUAAGUUCCGACCUGCACGAAUGGCGUAACGACUUGGGCGCUGUCUCGACCAUGGACCCGGUGAAAUUGCACUGGUCGUGAAGAUGCGACUUACCCGCGGAAGGACGGAAAGACCCCGUGAACCUU
rnacentral:rRNA from 1 species